rnacentral:lncRNA from 1 species
GAGGACUAUAAUAAUGUUUUUAAAAAUUCAAUUGCAUUACUUUUGCUGGAUUUUUUUGUUAAUUGUGAGUUUUCUUGUCUGAACACUAGCCUAGCACUAAGCUUUGGUCAGUAUCAACAGAAAUAACAGUAGUACAGUUUGAAAAGUUUAGCAGUUGAGAACUUUUUAGCAUUCAGUAGAAUGGUGGGAUGAGGUGGGGGUGGAGGAGCAAAUUUUGAUCGUCCAGAGUAUUUUUUGUUGUUUAUUAAUAUUUACUUUUUCUCUUUUGUUAUUAGUACUAGCCUGUCAAUAGUUUCCCCUACCUUUUGGUUAUAUCCAGAUGAAUGAGUCAGCAUCUCAAGAGGAACCCAAACCAACAGAGGAAAAUGGGAAGGAAGACAAAGAAAGAAAACAGGAAGAAACUGAAACGAAAGACCCUAUUAAGAGUUCAAAGAGUACACUAGACAUUUCAGCAUCAGGCACCUGCAGCAAUGUGGCUGAAGCAGCAGCAAAUAAAACCAAAUCCCAAGGUAGAGAAUGAACCUUUCUCCUAAACUAUUAUUAAGUUUUCAAUGGGGAUCGACUCCUCAAGAUUUUGCCUUUUAAAAAUAUAAUCAGGG